rnacentral:rRNA from 1 species
GACGAACGCUGGCGGCGUGCCUAAUACAUGCAAGUCGAGCGCUGAAGGCUGGUACUUGUACCGACUGGAUGAGCAGCGAACGGGUGAGUAACGCGUGGGGACUCUGCCUUUGAGCGGGGGACAACAUUUGGAAACGAAUGCUAAUACCGCAUAAAAACUUUAAACACAAGUUUGAAUGUUGAAAGAUGCAAUUGCAUCACUCACAGGUGAUCCCGCGUUGUAUUAGCUAGGUGGUGAGGUACAGGCUCACCAAGGCGAUGAUACAUAGCCGACCUGAGAGGGUGGGCGGCCAGCUUGGGACGGUGACACGGCCCAAACGCCUACGGGAGGCAGCCGUAGGCAAUCGUGGGCCAGGGAUGAAAGUCUGACCGAGAAGCGCGGAGGGAGGGAAGAAGGGUGUCGGAUCGGAAAUCUCGGUUGGUAGAGAAGAACGUUGGUGAGAGUGGAAAGCUCAGCAAGUGACGGUAACUACUCAGAAAGGGACGGCUAACUACGUG